rnacentral:lncRNA from 1 species
UAAAUGGCCACUACCUUGCCUCCAUUAUUUCAAGCAUUAUUUAUACCAGAGAAAAAUACUUGAGCAUCAAAGAGUAGUUUUCAAUAUGACAUUCAUUGACUUGCUGAAAGGAGGUGUCAGAUUUCAUUCAGAGAGGAUUUGAGGACCUACUACAUGUCAGCCCUGUGAGGCACAGGGUAAACAGAGACAAAUAAUAUUUCCUUAAAGUAUCUCCCACAAUAUAAUAGGAGAGACAGGAAGGAAGAAAGGGCCUGUGAUCUCAUGGCAUCCAAGGUGAGCAAACAGUGGGCAGAGGACACAACAGGAUGAGGAGAGCACCUCUCAGCUUGGUAGAGAGGAGCUUGGGGCCAGCACUACAGAGCGCGGGGAUGAGGUCUUCAAAGGCGAGUGACGGUUUGUCGUACAGCCACAGGAACCAGGGUGAAGCUGAGGCUGCCCACCAUCCUUUGAACACCUGCCCCAUAUUCCUGCUUCCAUAUCUGUCGUUACUGCAGAUUAGUUGCUCUCCAAAUUGCAUUUCCAUGCUGUGCUGUGUGAUUUGGAUUAAUAGGGACUGCAUUAAAUGCUUUCUCUGAGGAUCUUUCCCGUACUGGAGGCUGGAGGAAGCACUCAGUGUCUCGGGACAUUUUCAAGGCACUCAGUCUCACUGGGGUGACAGAUCUUAUCAGCAAAGACUUUUUACCCAAGAGGACAAAGUGUCCAAAUGGGUGCUUGUGGGAAUGUACUGGGGGUUGGGCAGUGUUUCAUUCUGUUUUGUGCUGCUAUAAUAGAAUACCACAGACUGGCUAGCUUAUAAAGAAAAUAAAUGUAUUGCUCACACUUCUGGAGGCUGGGAAAUCCAAUAUCAAGGGGUCGGCAUCUGGAGAUGGCUCAUCCGGCAACGGGAGGCAGAAGGGCACGGGAGUGCCUCCAGAGAGCCAGAGAGCAAAGGGGCUGCACUCCCUUUACACCAAAUGCACUCUGCAAUCAUGGUAUUGAUCCUGCACUUGAAGGGAAAAAAUUCUAUAACAGAAGUAGUAUUUGUUGUCUCCUGAGCCCAUCUGGAUCUACCUGAACUUGCUCCUUUUGGUAAGAAGGCAGCGUUUUGACUUAAGUGGGUGAGGAAGUCUAGCAGCCUCAGGUCCCCACAUGGAAUGCCUGUGUAUACUUGUCAGCAUCAGUUACAACUCCUUUAAUCCUCAGCGUGUGAAGGAGGGAGAGGAUUUUUCUCUUUGGCAGUGUCUGACAGAUUCUCCUGUUUGAGGAACGUUGCUGGCUAGUGACAUGGAGGAGCACUCACCAAGAGAGAAGGGGUUGAUUUUAUCACUGAAAGCCCAGCUCUGUGGUACAUUCUAGAAGCUCUCAACAUCUAAGUGAGUUUUACUCAAAGACUUUUCUGGGAAAAAGGAAACCUUCUGAAAUGAGAGAUUGUUGUUUAAAUUCUCAUUCUUCUUUCCCCUUCUCUCCCCAAGUCUGAUGGUGCGCACCAGAAGCUUCUCCGUCCUAUUGAAUCUAAUGAGAACAUCACGUGGGCAAGCGUUCAGUUAACACCCAAAAAGAGCUGCAGCCACAGACUGGCACUGCAUCAGGAAAGGCAGACGGGAACACAUUCUAGUGAAAUGCAGGAAGUUAGAGACACGAGGCAAAAAAGAUGUUAAAGAGUUUUGUGUCAGAGAUAGCAGAAACUCCUUAAUUACUUUUUGGAGUUUGGAUUUCUAAAUCACAGCUUUCUGGAA